rnacentral:rRNA from 1 species
GUGCCAGCCGCCGCGGUAAUACGAAGGGUGCAAGCGUUAAUCGGAAUUACUGGGCGUAAAGCGUGCGUAGGCGGUUGGCUAAGUCAGAUGUGAAAGCCCUGGGCUCAACCUGGGAAUGGCAUUUGAAACUGGCUGGCUAGAGUGCGGUAGAGGAUGGCGGAAUUCCCGGUGUAGCGGUGAAAUGCGUAGAGAUCGGGAGGAACAUCCGUGGCGAAGGCGGCCAUCUGGACCAGCACUGACGCUGAGGCACGAAAGCGUGGGGAGCAAACAGGAUUAGAAACCCUCGUAGUCC